AUUGAACGCUGGCGGCAUGCCUUACACAUGCAAGUCGAACGGUAACAGGUCUUCGGCUGCUGCCGCGUGGCGCACGGGUGUGUGUUACGCCGGAACGCGCCCACACGUGGGGGGUAACGCGGCGCAAGAUUUGCUUAUAUCCCAUACGAUCUCAGAGUGUGAGAGCGGGACCGCAAAACCCUGUGCGCUUGUGGCGCGCCCGAUGUCGGAUUGGCUAGUUGGUGGGGUAAAGGCUUACCAAGGCGACGAUCCGUAGCUGGUCUGAGAGGACGACCAGCCACACUGGGACUGAGACACGGCCCAGACUCCUACGGGAGGCAGCAGUGGGGAAUUUUGGACAAUGGGGGAAAGCCUGAUCCAGCCAUGCCGCGUGCAGGAUGAAGGCCUUCGGGUUGUAAACCGCUUUUGUACGGAACGAAAAGGCUCGGGCUAAUACCUGGGGCACAUGACGGUACCGGAAGAAUAAGCACCGGCUAACUACGUG
rnacentral:rRNA from 1 species